UUUUUUUUAAGAAUUUAGUUAAUUCGGCGGUACUAUGGAUGCACCAGCUUAUUUCGGGACGCAUCGACUCACCGUACUUGAGAAGCCAAUUGAACCUGAAUACAGGAGAACGAGCGUUAAGAAACCCGGAAUUUAUAAGAAUGAAAUAUUCGAGGAAUGAAUACGGAACGAAUUCGCCAUUUAACAAUGCUUGCCGGGCCUUCAAUCGUGCUGUGACCAUCGUAGAUCCAACAUUACCGUUCAACAGCUUCAAAUGCGAAAUCAUGAAGCUACCGGAUGAGGUAUUCGGUGACUUGAUUGAAGUUUGAAACGAAAUUGUGACUUAAGACUGUGAUCGGUGAAAGAGAUUGAUUGAGAAUACAAUACUGUGAUAUUAUUGAGUAGAAAGAGACGACCUUUGAAUUGAAUUGAAUUAAUUGAUUGAUAUUGACCAGUGAAUACUUAAAGUUGUUGUCUUGAGAUAGAGUGAUUAUUGACGAAGCUUAGAAGCUGAAUGUGAUUUAUGUAUUUUAAAUGCUUUGAAUUGAGCUGAAUAUUGUUUGUAAUGAAAUGGUUGAAUUAAUUAGAGGAAUGAUUGUAUAUUGAGAUGAGUUGAGUCGGCUAACUUAAGUAGACUUUAAAACCAAGAAAUAAA